rnacentral:rRNA from 1 species
CCUACGUGCGGCAGCAGUGAGGAAUAUUGGUCAAUGGACGAGAGUCUGAACCAGCCAAGUAGCGUGAAGGAUGACUGCCCUAUGGGUUGUAAACUUCUUUUAUAUGGGAAUAAAAUGUUCCACGUGUGGGUUUUUGUAUGUACUUUAUGAAUAAGGAUCGGCUAACUCCGUGCCAGCAGCCGCGGUAAUACGGAGGAUCCGAGCGUUAUCCGGAUUUAUUGGGUUUAAAGGGAGCGUAGAUGGGUUGUUAAGUCAGUUGUGAAAGUUUGCGGCUCAACCGUAAAAUUGCAAUUGAUACUGGCAGCCUUGAGUACAGUUGAGGUAGGCGGAAUUCGUGGUGUAGCGGUGAAAUGCUUAGAUAUCACGAAGAACUCCGAUUGCGAAGGCAGCUUACUAAACUGCCACUGACAUUGAUGCUCGAAAGUGUGGGUAUCAAACAGGAUUAGAUACCCUGGUAGUC